ACUCCUCCCGCUGCCAAAGCUCUGGAGCCAGCUCGGGCCGGAGGCCACCGCCGGCCACCGCUUGGCAGCUCGCACUGGUGCUCAGUGUGUCGCCCAUGUGCUCGGCCGGCUCCGCAGCACAACCCUGUAGGGCUCAGCGCUGGCCAGCCCGAGGCCUGCCUUGCCAGCGGCGCCACCGAGCUCCUCGAGGCCCGAGGCCGCCAAAGGCGGGAAGACACGGCGGCGGGGAGCCAGGGUCGCAACGCUGAGGCCCCGAGGGGGCGACGCUCGGCUCCCGUCGGGCGUGGCGAGCGGCAGUGGAUUCACUCACCACGGUUCGGCGGGGCAGCGCGCCGGGGGUCCGAGACAGGGCCCGGCGCAGCCUCCGCGCCCUGCCCGAGCGGGUCCCGGCCGAGCUCUCGGAGCCACUGUCGUCGGAGAUCACGAUAAAGUCCUCCAUGGCUACGGGCCCGGCGGAGCCACGCGCGAGCGGCGAGCGGCCCCGGCGACUCCGACUCCGGUUCCAGCUGCUGAAGCGACUGCAGCGAAGGCGUCGCAGACACCGGGCGAUGCUGCCUAAAACGUGGGAAGUACAGAGUCCCUGACACAGGAAUUUCUGAAGAGCACCUUGCCAACAAGUGAUGGAAUGGAACAACAUGCCACUGGAUGAUACCGUCAUGUCAGCAUCACGGAGUGCACUCACCCUCUCCUGUGUGCUACAACCUCCUUCCUGUGCUCUGUGGUUGGUCCAGCACAGCCGUGUAAGGGUCUCCACCAGGGAAAGAAAGCAGUAUUGGUGUCUGUGAAGACAACCCAGAGAGAUGCACUGUGAGUCUCCAACCUCAGCAUGAGUUGUCACAUUGGAAGGCCCCUGUCAGUGCCUGCUUCUGCUGAUUGGGAUGGCAAAGAAGAUAAAGGCGGAAGCAGGAACUGUGAAGGUGUUGAAAGGCAGACCUAGCACAGGGAGAGGAGGCCCAGGCAGAAGCCCAGUUUCCUAUGAGCUGAUGAGCCUCCUGGAGAUUUAUAAUCUGACUGCUUGACCUUGACUUCCAACAAUAGGAAGUCAUAGCCUUCCAUAGCCCCAGGGCUGAGGGAGUACUGGUCCCUUGUGUUGUUGUGCACACCCCCCCCCCCCCCCUGUGACAGGAUAAAUCUAUUACAACUUUAGCAAUUGAUUAGCUGGCCACUUGAGGGCCUUUGAGAUUUUUUUUUUUUUUUUUUUUUUGCCCCAGGGCUCUGAGGCUGGUUUUAUUGGUUCCUCUAAUCUCUUCCCACAAGAGUUUAUGAUCUGUAUAAAGCUUUGUGGUUCCAUCUGCUUUCCAGAGAGCCUGUAUCACAACUGAAGAGUUCCUGCUGGCCCAAGAGCACCAAGUAGUGGGUAGUGUCAGUCACAGCUUUCUUCUAAGGGGUUUCUAAUAAGCUUUGUUGGUCUUCCCAAUGCACUACCAAAAUCCAGUAGAAUUGUUACAAAGGGCAGAGCUGGCAGUGCUUUCUUGGUGGGUUUUUUUUUUUUUUAUGUGUAUGUGCAUUUUUGCCUGCAUGGCUGUGCACCACAUGGGCUCUGUGCUCAGAGGUCAGAAGAGAGUGUCAGAUACGAUACCCUGGAACUGAGGUGUGAGCUGGGGUGGUGCGGGUGCUGGGGCUCUAACCUGGGUCAUCUGUAAGAGCAGCCAGUGCUCUUACUUAGCCUCCGGGGCAUCUCUCCAGUCCCAUGAUUGUAGAGCUUUUAUAACUGUGUGGCUGGGUGCAUUGUAUAUGCCUUUAAUCCCAGCACUCAGGAGGCAGAAGCAGGAAAAUCUGUGAGUUUGAGGCUCGCCUGGGUUAGUUACAUGGUAAGUUUCAGGACACCCAGGUCUAUGCAGAGAGACUCUGUCUCAACAAACAAAUAUAUAAUUGUGAUAUGUUUGUGUGUGUGCACACACACAGGAGGAAGGAGAGGGGGAAGAAGAGGGAGGGAGAGAGGGGGAGACAGAGAUAGAGAGAGAGAGACAGAGAGAGAUGUUAUUCCAAGUCUUAUCAGAAUAAUCCCAUCUUACUGCAAACUACUGUUUGUCUCAUGAAGCAUUUAUUUGCUAUAAGUCAUGUUUGCAGUAUUUUCCAAGACCAGCAUGAUCCCCAAUAAGGGUAUGAUCCCCAAUAAGGGUAAAGGCCAGUUCUAUCAAGUUACAUUAAGUCUGUAGUAGAUAUAGAGCCAUGUAAGUAGGAGCUUGUGUUAUGUGACAAACGUUUUCCUGGGGAGACUCAACACACAUCUACUCACCCCAGACAGAGGUCCCUCAAAAGAACAAAGCACAGAUAACAAAGUCCAACUUGGAGAACCAAUGAGUUUUAUUGGGGAUACUUAUAGGAGUAUGGGGAAGGGGACACUUACAGGAGCAGAAACGACUUAAAGACCUCAGCAUCACUAAGACCACUUGUCUUAAUUAGGGUUUUACUGCUGUGUACAGACUCCAUGAUAAAGGCAAGUCUUAUAAAAACAACAUUUAAUUGGGGUUGGCUUACAAGUUCAAAGGUUCAGUCCAUUAUUAUCAAGGUGGGAGCAUGGCAGCAUCCAGGCAGGCAUGGAGCUGGCAGAGCUGAGAGUUCUACAUCUUCAUCCAAAGGCUGCUAGUGGAAAACUGACUUCCAGGCAACUAGGGUGAGGAUCUUAUGCCCACACCCACAGUGACACACCCACUCCAACCAGGUCACACCUAUUCCAACAAGGCCACACCUCCAAAUGGUGCCACUCCCUGGUCCAAGAAUAUACAAACCAUCACAUUCCACUGGCCCCCAUAGACUUGUUCAAACACAUGAGUCUAUGGGGGGGGGGCACACUUAAACAUAGCAUAAUGCAAAAUGCAUUUAGUCCAACUUUUAAAGUCCUCAUAGUCUAUAGCAGUCUCAACAAUGUUAAAAGUCCAAAGUUCAAGGUCUCUUCUGAGAUUCAUCCAAUCACUUAACUGUAAUCCCCAAAGAAAGACAGGGAACCAGCUGUGCAAACUCCAAACUCUGCAUCUCCAUGGCUGAUGUCAAAGCAGUCUUCAGAUUUCCACUCCUUUUUCAUCUUUGUUGACUGCAACAAUCUGCUUUCUCCUGGGCUGGUUCCAUGCCCUGUUAGCAGCUUUCCUCAGCAUGUAUCCCA